CUCUUGAGCUCUUGUGGUGACCUGGGAAUCAAUGUGUGAGGUGGUGCUAUGUAGCAGGAACCCCUCUUGCUUUGCAAAUAGUUUUUUGUUUGUUUUCCUUUUUGCCCAAUAGAGCCCUGCUCUACUGACCCUUCAAUGUGCCCGUGUGCCUAAAUAUUCCUGGUCGUGUGAAAAGAACCCAGGUAUUAGCUGAACUAAGGAGCACAAUUCUGCAACAUUUUGGCACCCAAACACGGGGCUUGAGAAAUGAAUGCAAUUGGAGAAACUGGUUGUUUUACCAGGCGUUGAUUGGAAAUGUGUGCUUCCCUUUAAGCAGUCAAGCUCAACUUGCAGAACUGAUGGGAACCCCUUGGGAAAACUGGCCUCAAAUGUUUGUCUACACAGUCCACAUACAGGGUUCUUAACCUGCGACUGACCCUGCUUGUGCCUGUGAACCAACCAACAAUCUCUGGCUGCAGCUCAGAAAGGACAAAAGAGAAUGGGCCAUCAAACUCCAGUCUGCACCUGGAGCCUUGGAUGAUGGCCUUUUUUACUGGGAACCCUGAAAUAGGCCUCUGAGGGAAAUCUGAUUGCCAUUUUCCCAAAACAGCUUCCCUGACAAUAGGAAGCAAUUAAGAUUGGUCUUCAUCCUUAUCUUUAUCCUUAUUCUAAUGGCAGUUAGAGGUACUUCUUUAGAGGGGGGAAUGAGACAGCCAAAUGCCUAGGCAGAUAAAAAGGUGUACCUGGAAAAUUUCCAACCCGUCACACAAGUGUUUACAUCAGAUGCUUUUGUGUAGAUGAGGGAAACUUCCCAGGGCUUGUCUGGGUAUGCCCACAGUGGACUGGAGCCCAAAAUGCACACUGGAGGAAGUGGAUGGAGCCACGUGGAUGUCAUGCCUUAUGCAGGGGAGGAGCCUGCUCUCUUCAGCUCCUGUGGUAAUGUGGGAAUCGAUCUGUGAGGUGAGGACCUGUUAGCAGGAACCCCUCUUGCUUUGCUGAAAGUUUUAUUUUUCUUUUUGCCCUAUAAAACCCUGUUCUACUAACCCUUCAAUAUGUCUGCAUUCCUAAAUUUUCCUGGUCAUGUGACGAGAACCUAGGUUUUAGCUGAACUAAGGAGCAAAAUUCUGCAACAUAAAGUCAAAGAAAACUAUGCCUAUAUCCAUUAAAUCAAAUGUUAAAAAGCAAAUAUAAAGAAAAAGUCUUCACAGCCCUAGAGAAAAGUGAAACAUUGUACAUAAAGAAGUAAUAAUUUGAAUGGAUUGUCAGAAACCAUGACUAGAAGACAGAGGAGCAAUAUUUUCAAAUUUCAUAGAGAAAGGAAAAAAAGAAAAGAAGAAAAAAAAGAAGACAUAAUAAAACACCUGUCAUUUUAGUAUUCUGUACCCAUUGAACAUAACCUUCAAUAGAAUGUGAAGUAGACAUAUUCAGGUGAAUAAAAAAUCAAGAGAAUAAUAGUUAUGUUCUACAUGAAAUUAUAAAGGAAAUUUCUCAGACUAGGUGGAAAUUAUACUAGUGAGAAACAGAUUUGAAGGACUAAAGGAAGAGAUGAUAGACUGACAAAGUCAAUUUUUAAAAGCCAGAUCUAACUUCUUAUUGGCUACAAGGAAUCCACUUUUAAUAUACAAAAAUAGGUAAUAAUUAAAUUGCUAGAAAAUACAUUUCAAAUAAAGAAUCAGCACAUGUAGCUUGGAGAAGAUAUAUUAACAUAAAAAGGACUUCAAUAAAAGGAGUAUUAUGAGAAGACAUUUAUGCAGCCAAAAAACACAUGAAAAAAUGCUCACCAUCACUGGCCAUCAGAGAAAUGCAAAUCAAAACCACAAUGAGAUACCAUCUCACACCAGUUAGAAUGGCAAUCAUUAAAAAGUCAGGAAACAACAGGUGCUGGAGAGGAUGUGGAGAAAUAGGAACACUUUUACACUGUUGGUGGGACUGUAAACUAGUUCAACCAUUGUGGAAGUCAGUGUGGUGAUUCCUCAGGGAUCUAGAACUGGAAAUACCAUUUGACCCAGCCAUCCCAUUACUGGGUGUAUACCCAAAGGACUAUAAAUCAUGCUUCUAUAAAGACACAUGCACAGGUAUGUUUAUUGCGGCACUAUUCACAAUAGCAAAGACCUGGAACCAACCCAAAUGUCCAACAAUGAUAGACUGGAUUAAGAAAAUGUGGCACAUAUACACCAUGGAAUACUAUGCAGCCAUAAAAAAUGAUGAGUUCAUGUCCUUUGUAGGGACAUGGAUGAAAUUGGAAAUCAUCAUUCUCAGUAAACUAUCACAAGGACAAAAAACCAAACACCACAUAUUCUCACUCAUAGGUGGGAAUUGAACAAUGAGAUCACAUGGACACGGGAAAGGGAACAUCACACUCUGGGGACUGUUGUGGGGUGGGGGGAGAGGGGAGGGAUAGCAUUAGGAGAUAUACCUAAUGCUAAAUGAUGAGUUAAUGAGUGCAGCACACCAGCAUGGCACAUGUAUACAUAUGUAACUAACCUUUACGUUGUGCACAUGUACCCUAAAACUUAAAGUAUAAUAAUAAUAAAAUAAAAUAAAAUAAAAAUUUAUCAGAAAAACAAUAUCAAUUAUAAUGUAUAUACCUAAUAAGAGAGCUCAAAAUAUUUGAAACAAAUCUGACAGAAUUAAAAAGAAGAAUGGAUAAAUUCACAAUUAUAGAAAAAGAUUAUACACCAGUUUCUUAAUAAUUGAUACAACCACUGGAGAAAUAAUAAGAAAGCAAAAAUAAAGACAUAGAUCCAAAUAA
rnacentral:lncRNA from 1 species